ACAGCAGUCGCCACGGUAAUACGUAGGGUGCGAGCGUUAAUCGGAAUUACUGGGCGUAAAGCGUGCGCAGGCGGUUUUGUAAGACAGACGUGAAAUCCCCGGGCUCAACCUGGGAAUGGCGCUUGUGACUGCAAAGCUAGAGUGCGGCAGAGGGGGAUGGAAUUCCGCGUGUAGCAGUGAAAUGCGUAGAUAUGCGGAGGAACACCGAUGGCGAAGGCAAUCCCCUGGGCCUGCACUGACGCUCAUGCACGAAAGCGUGGGGAGCAAACAGGAUUAGAUACCCGCGUAGUCCCUGUCUCUUAUAC
rnacentral:rRNA from 1 species